CCUACGGGUGGCAGCAGUAGGGAAUAUUGCUCAAUGGGGGAAACCCUGAAGCAGCCAAGUCGCGUGAGGGACGACGGUCCUAUGGAUUGUAAACCUCUUUUGUCGGGGAACAAAGGCGCCCACGGGUGGGCGGAUGAGUGUACCCGCAGAAAAAGCAUCGGCUAACUCCGUGCCAGCAGCCGCGGUAAUACGGAGGAUGCGAGAGUUAUCCGGAUUUAUUGGGUUUAAAGGGUGCGUAGGCGGACAGUCAAGUCAGCGGUAAAAAUGCGGUGCUCAACGCCGUACAGCCGUUGAAACUGGCAGUCUUGAGUGGGCGAGAAGUAUGCGGAAUGCGUGGUGUAGCGGUGAAAUGCAUAGAUAUCACGCAGAACUCCGAUUGCGAAGGCAGCUUACUAAACUAUAACUGACACUGAAGCACGAAAGCGUGGGGAUCAAACAGGAUUAGAUACCCCGGUAGUC
rnacentral:rRNA from 1 species